UUUCCCUACGGGGCGCAGCAGUGGGGGAUAUUGCACAAUGGGGGAAACCCUGAUGCAGCGACGCCGCGUGUGGGAAGACGGUCCUCUGGAUUGUAAACCACUGUCCCCAGGGACGAAAAUGACGGUACCUGGGGAGGAAGCUCCGGCUAACUACGUGCCAGCAGCCGCGGUAAUACGUAGGGAGCGAGCGUUAUCCGGAAUGAUUGGGCGUAAAGGGUGCGUAGGCGGCCUGCUAAGUCUGGAGUGAAAGGUACCGGCUCAACCGGUACAGGCUCUGGAAACUGGCGGGCUAGAGAGCAGGAGAG
rnacentral:rRNA from 1 species